AAUCUGGUUGAUCCUGCCAGUAGUCAUAUGCUUGUCUCAAAGAUUAAGCCAUGCAUGUCUAAGUAUAAGCAAUUAUACGGCGAGACUGCGAAUGGCUCAUUAAAACAGUUAUAGUUUAUUUGCUAGACGUUUAUAUGGAUAACCGUAGUAAUUCUAGAGCUAAUACAUGCUGGUUACGCUGUGCGUAGUAUUUAUUAGAUAAAACCCAACGGGGGCGACCCUGUGGAGGAAUCAUAAUAACUUAGCGAACUCGACGUAGUGAAGCAUUCAAGUUUCUGCCCUAUCAGCUUUCGAUGGUAGUGUAUUGGACUACCAUGGCGAUGACGGGUGACGGAGAAUUAGGGUUCGAUUCCGGAGAGGGAGCCUGAGAAAUGGCUACCACAUCUAAGGAAGGCAGCAGGCGCGCAAAUUACCCAAUCCUAACUCAGGGAGGUAGUGACAAGAAAUAACAACGCGGGGCUUUGUCUUGCGAUUGGAAUGAGUUAAGUGUAAAAGCCUUUUCGAGGACCCACUGGAGGGCAAGUCUGGUGCCAGCAGCCGCGGUAAUUCCAGCUCCAGUAGCGUAUAUUAAAGUUGUUGCAGUUAAAAAGCUCGUAGUUGAAGCUCUGCGGGGCGGGUCGCUGGGCCUCGGUCUGGUGACCUUCCUCGCAUCCAUCUGAGCAACGGCUCCGGCAUUAACUUGUCGCUGUCGUGAUCAGGUACUUUACCUUGAGCAAAUGAGAGUGUUCCAGGCAGGCUUGGGCCUGAAUCGUCCAGCAUGGAAUAAUAGAAGAGGACUGGGCUCCAUUUAUUGGUGUUAUGGCGCUUAGUAAUGAUUAAUAGGGAUAGUUGGGGGCAUUUGUAUUUAAUUGUCAGAGGUGAAAUUCUAUGAUUUAUUAAAGACAAACUUAUGCGAAAGCAUUUGCCAAGGAUGUUUUCAUUAAUCAAGAACGAAAGUUAAGGGAUCAAAGACGAUCAGAUACCGUCGUAGUCUUAACCAUAAACUAUGCCGACUAGAGAUUGGAGGUG